rnacentral:rRNA from 1 species
AUUGAACGCUGGCGGCAGGCCUAACACAUGCAAGUCGAGCGGAUGAAGGGAGCUUGCUCCUGGAUUCAGCGGCGGACGGGUGAGUAAUGCCUAGGAAUCUGCCUGGUAGUGGGGGAUAACGUCCGGAAACGGGCGCUAAUACCGCAUACGUCCUGAGGGAGAAAGUGGGGGAUCUUCGGACCUCACGCUAUCAGAUGAGCCUAGGUCGGAUUAGCUAGUUGGUGGGGUAAAGGCCUACCAAGGCGACGAUCCGUAACUGGUCUGAGAGGAUGAUCAGUCACACUGGAACGGAGACACGGUCCAGACUCCUACGGGAGGCAGCAGUGGGGAAUAUUGGACAAUGGGCGAAAUCCUGAUACAGCCAUGCCGCGUGUGUGAAGAAGGUCUUCGGAUUGUAAAGCACUUUAAGUUGGGAGGAAGGGCAGUAAGUUAAUACCUUGCUGUUUUGACGUUACCAACAGAAUAAGCACCGGCUAACUUCGUG